rnacentral:rRNA from 1 species
GAACGGGUGAGUAACACGUGGGCAACCUGCCCCUGGCUCUGGGAUAACUCCAAGAAAUUGGGGCUAAUACCGGAUAUGACCGCUGACCGCAUGGUCUGGUGGUGGAAAGAUUUAUCGGCUGGGGAUGGGCCCGCGGCCUAUCAGCUUGUUGGUGGGGUAGUGGCCUACCAAGGCGACGACGGGUAGCCGGCCUGAGAGGGUGACCGGCCACACUGGGACUGAGACACGGCCCAGACUCCUACGGGAGGCAGCAGUGGGGAAUAUUGCGCAAUGGGCGAAAGCCUGACGCAGCGACGCCGCGUGGGGGAUGACGGCCUUCGGGUUGUAAACCUCUUUCAGCAGGGACGAAGCGAAAGUGACGGUACCUGCAGAAGAAGCACCGGCCAACUACGUGCCAGCAGCCGCGGUAAUACGUAGGGUGCAAGCGUUGUCCGGAAUUAUUGGGCGUAAAGAGCUCGUAGGCGGUUCGUCGCGUCGGCUGUGAAAACCUGAGGCUCAACCUCAGGCCUGCAGUCGAUACGGGCGGACUUGAGUACUGCAGGGGAGACUGGAAUUCCUGGUGUAGCGGUGAAAUGCGCAGAUAUCAGGAGGAACACCGGUGGCGAAGGCGGGUCUCUGGGCAGUAACUGACGCUGAGGAGC